rnacentral:rRNA from 1 species
AUUGAACGCUGGCGGAAUGCUUUACACAUGCAAGUCGAACGAUAAAGCCUAGUUUGCUAGGUCGAUUAGUGGCGAACGGGUGAGUAAUAUAUCGGAACGUAUCCAAUAAUGGGGGAUAACUAGUCGAAAGAUUGGCCAAUACCGCAUACGUCCUACGGGAGAAAGCUGGGGAUCGUAAGACCUGGCGUUAAUGGAGCGGCCGAUAUCUGAUUAGCUAGUUGGUGAGGUAAAGGCUCACCAAGGCGACGAUCAGUAGCUGGUCUGAGAGGACGACCAGCCACACUGGAACUGAGACACGGUCCAGACUCCUACGGGAGGCAGCAGUGGGGAAUUUUGGACAAUGGGCGAAAGCCUGAUCCAGCCAUUCCGCGUGAGUGAAGAAGGCCUUCGGGUUGUAAAGCUCUUUCGCAAGGGAAGAACACUUACUUAAUAACACUAAGUGAGGUUAACGGUACCUUGAUAAGAAGCACCGGCUAACUACGUGCCAGCCGCCGCAGUAA